rnacentral:tRNA from 1 species
UCCCUGGUAGCUCAGAGGUUAAAGCGUCUGCCUGCAAUGCGGGAGACCCGGGUUCGAUCCCUGAGUUGGGAA